UAUGAAGGGGGCGAGCGUUGUUCGGAAUUACUGGGCGUAAAGGGCGCGCAGGCGGCUCAGACAGUCAGAUGUGAAAGCCCCCGGGCUUAACCUGGGAACUGCAUUUGAUACUACUGAGCUUGAGUACGGGAGAGGAUAGUGGAAUUCCCAGUGUAGAGGUGAAAUUCGUAGAUAUUGGGAAGAACACCGGUGGCGAAGGCGGCUAUCUGGACCGUAACUGACGCUGAGGCGCGAAAGCGUGGGGAGCAAACAGG
rnacentral:rRNA from 1 species